GUAAAACAUCGGUAUAAACAUGAUAUAAAAUAUAAUUUGGUAUAAAAAAUUUGUUUUUAUAUAAAAUUCGGUGAUUUGUAUCUUAAUAAAAUGGGUUAGUGAUCAUAUUUAUAGAACUUUCAAUUAUGGCAACUCAUUACUAUGAAUAAUUUUUAAGCGAAGAUGGCACAAUAAAAUAUUACACUCAGAAAAGUUUGAUAUACGGAAAAACUCAUUGUCGAUGUAGAAUUAUUAAGAUCAAUAGCAAUAGCUGGAUUAAAUGGUCUUUGACAUCCAAAAAGUUUUUCUACACACUACAAUAUAAUAAGAAAGUAUUAAUUUUUCUAAUUCGAAUUUCAAAAUCCAAUACUUUUCGCAGUUGAACUUCAACUGCGAAUAACUUUUAAGCAAGUUGACAUAGAGAAAAACAAAACUCUUUUGUAUGCCGUUUAAUUUCCUACAAAAAUAUAUAUUUCAUUUUACUACACAAUAAUUCAUUGAAAUACCUAAAAUUCUCAAAAUACAAAUUAACUGUGUAAUUUAUAUGAGAAAUCAAAAAUCACGAUGCGGUUCCUCUAAAUAUUGAGGCGGUUUGAAUCCACUAUCGAACGAAAUUUUUAUUAAUUAAGCCGCUUGUUCUUUGUCCAAAGGAGAGUUACAAACAAACGAACCCACAGACUGUUGAAGCUAAUAUAACUGUGUUAAAAAUAUAAUUUGGGAUCACAAUACACAAGGAGAUAAAUCUGGUGAAUAUUUUGUUGGAAAGAAAAGAGUAAGGUGGGGUUACAAAUAAAUGUUACAAAUUCAAUUAAUCAAUUUAUUAUUAUAUCAACACAUUUGACGAUAUCCAAUGUUUUCAAUAAGCAAUUUCUCAUAAAAAGAGGUUAUGGUAACGUUAUAAUAAAUAUAUAUCUUUUAGAAAACAUUCAAUAACAAACAGCAGAAAUUAAUUUACCGUGACAUUAACAAUUAUAAUAACAAUAAUCGUAUAUUUCACGUUCUGGUCCUUCGAUCCUUCUGUAACCGGCUGGAAGGACCAGAAAGUAUAAUUUUAAGCAUAAUUCGGUUUGGGGAGCUUAUAUAUAAUUGUAGCGUCACAGUGUAUCUCUUAAAAAAAUUAAUAAAGAAUUAAAAAAAGUUAAAUAACAUAACCUGUAAACAAUCAACAAUAAUUCAUAUACCCAGUUAAACAAUGAAAAAAAAUAUGUAACAUACCUAAUAGAGACAAAGUUAACGUUAGCUGUCAUAUUCCUGUUUGAUAAAUAUCGAACCAGAUCCUUCUAUCACAUUAUUUUCAAUUUCGUCCUUAACUUUGAUAGGUUUUAAAUUGAGAGUUUCCAUAAAUGGUCUAAUGUCCUCUCCGGACGAUUCCGGUUUCACUGUUUCACUAUCUUCUGGUUCGGUUUUGAUUUUGACUGCAACAUCGGGUGUUGGUUGUGAUACGCUAGCGUUUAUCUUCUGUUUUAUGUCGAUUUCUUCUAUAGACAUCGUUUCUCUUUUUAGUUUUUCUCUGGCUUUUCGUACGUUGGGUGGUACAUCGUUCUGUCGUUUGAAUUCGUCGAAAAAAUCGGGAUGUCUUUGGCGGAUGUGUUUGAACAAUGCUUUGUUUAGAGCGAAUUUCCUAUCGCAGAAGGUGCACGCGAAAGGUUUGUCUCCUGAAUGUAUCCUCAUGUGUUCUUUGGCAGUGGUGCUGUGGAAAAAUAGAUCGAUUAUUAUAGGGGAAGGAAAUGUUUUUGAAAAAUAUAUUUUCUAACCUUAAAAAUUAAAAUUACAAAAACUUGACAAAUAAUAUUUCAUUUAAAAUAACUAUUUCCAUAUUUAGAGUUUAAUUUUGGCAACAUAGCAUAUUUUUUACUGGUUGUAAUAUAAGUUACAGUAUUGCCAAGUAUCAUGAAGUGAAAAUUUUCAUUUAUCUAUGUCGAAUAAUUAAAAUUGACAAUAUUCAAAAUUGUUUUUCGGUAUAAAUGAUCAUGUAAAUGUACAUUUUACAAGAAUUUUGUAUUUUUGUCAUGGAAAAAUUCAUGAAAAUUGUCUUUUUAUGAUUUUUUAAGGGUAACUACCCAUUAAAAAUUUUCAAAAAUUGAAAAAUAUAGAAAAAAAAUUCAUAGUUGACUUAUUUCCAGAUUUAGAGUUCAAUUUUGGCAACAUAGCAUCUUUUUUACUGGUUGUAAUAUAAGUUACAGUAUUGCCAAGUUUCAUGAAGUGAAUUUCUUCUGAAAUAUUAAUUUCCAAUGAUCUAUGUCGAAUACUUAAAUUGACAACAUCCAAAAUUGUUUUUUUUCUUCGGUAUCAAUGAUCAUGAAAAUGAACAUUUUACAAGAAUUUUGAAUUUUUGUUUUAAAAAUUGAUAAAUAGGAUAAAAAUAGAUCAUAGAUGUCUUAUUUCUAGAUCUAGAGCUGAGUUUGGCAACAUAGCAUUUCUUUCAAAUAUUUGGUAAAAAAGUUACAGUACUGCCAAGUUUCAUUCAGUAAAUUUCGUUUGAAAUACUAAUUUCCAAUAAUAUCAGAAUUAAUGUUAAAUUUAGCAAAUUUUUUUUAGAAAAUUAUAUCAUAUCGUAAUUAUCACUAAUAUAUAUUCUAAAUUCUUUCUUAACCUAUAAAAAUCUAUCUUGUUUAUUAUCUUUAUAAUAAGGUUCAACAUUGCCAAAUAUUUCAUUUGAAAUAUUUAUUUCCAAUAAUCUCUUUACAUUAUGUAAAUUUGUUUAAAAUAAUUUGAUUGAAAAUGAAAAACUAACUUUGGUGUUAUUAUAUUAUCGGUACAAUUAUUGACCACGUUGUCAAGUUUAUAUGUAAAUUGCUAAUAUUUUGCAAGUAAAAAUUAUCCAAUUUUAAUAUUGAUCUGGGUAUUUAAUAAUAUACAACGUUGUCAUGGUUUCUUGUGUAAAUUAGCAAUAUUAUCAAGAGAAAAUAUUGCAAAAAUCAGUUUUAUCUUUAAUUCUUCAUAUUUCCAAUAAUUUCUGAUAUAUAAAUAAAUUUGACCACCUCGGUAUUUUUUCAGUAUCAUAUAACUGCCCAUUAAAAUUUUUUAAAAACCAAAAAAAAACUCAGCGAAAUAUCGAUAAACUACUGUAAAAUAUUAAAGUCACUAUCACUACACCAAAAAUUGAAAGUAAGCAAACAAGUAGAAAUUGUUUGAUGAUUUUUACCUGUGAGCAAAACAUUUUCCACAGAUACUACAGGGGAACGGUUUUUCCCCAGUAUGCGUCCUUUUAUGUCUAUUGAGAUUUUCCAACGUCAAAAAUCCUCUAUUACACUCUUCGCAAGUGUACGGUUUCUCCCCGGUAUGUGUCAACAAGUGCCUCUUCAAAUUCUGCGCCGAAGGAAAACCCCUCAGACAUAUAUUACAUACAAACGGACGGACUCCUAAGAAACAAAAAUAAUGGUAUUUAUUUGGAAGUGGAGUUCGCCCUAUUUUUAGUCAUAAAAAUUAAUAUUUCCAAUAUUUUUUUAUAUUUUAUUGGUGUAAUUAUAAUAAUAAUGAGAACUAAGUUUGAAAAUCUAAAUUUCAACAUUUUUUUUGGUCAAUAAAAAAUAAAAUUCCUUUUCUUCAUGGUUCCUUCAUAAUGUUACGUGAAUUUAACAAUAAUUUAAUUUAUGCAUAAAAAUGUAUUGCUUAUUAAUAAAAGUAAUAAUACAAUAAAUAUGGUUUUUUAUUUAUUUUUUUUUUUUUUUAAUAACCUAAAGUGUUGAAAUUUUGGUUUUUCAACUUUGAAUUCGUAUUAAUCUUAAAUGCGUCAAAAAAUUAACCAAAUGGGAAGGAAAUCGUUGAAAGUUAGUUUUUCUAUUUUGUAUUAAUUAUUUUAUUAUAAUUAAUUACAAAAAUUCAAACUUCUCGAAAAUCUGUACAAAUUAUUUAAAUUAUGAUAUUCACUCGUUUUUUUUGUUGAAUUAUUUGUUUUUUUAUGUACUUUCCGAAAAAAAUAAGACAUUCUUUAAAAAUGGAAAAAAAUUAAUACUGUAACAAACUAGUAAACUGACAUAGAUCGAGAAGCCGGUCCUGUUCGCUUAUGUUGAAGGAUGCAAAAGUUUGGUGAAUACGCCGCUUGUAAAGCUAUUUACAUUAUGUGACUGUUUUAAUAAAGAUAAUUUCUUAGAAAA